rnacentral:rRNA from 1 species
UGGGGAAUAUUGGACAAUGGGCGGAAGCCUGAUCCAGCAACGCCGCGUGAGGGAUGACGGCCUUCGGGUUGUAAACCUCUUUCGGUGGGGACGAAGCGCAAGUGACGGUACCCACUAAAGAAGCACCGGCCAACUACGUGCCAGCAGCCGCGGUAAUACGUAGGGUGCGAGCGUUGUCCGGAAUUAUUGGGCGUAAAGGGCUCGUAGGCGGUUUGUCGCGUCGGGAGUGAAAACCAGGUGCUUAACACCUGGCUUGCUUUCGAUACGGGCAGACUAGAGGUAUUCAGGGGAGAACGGAAUUCCUGGUGUAGCGGUGAAAUGCGCAGAUAUCAGGAGGAACACCGGUGGCGAAGGCGGUUCUCUGGGAAUGGACCUGACGCUGAGGAGCGAAAGUGUGGGGAGGCGAACAGGAUUAGAUACCCUGGUAGUCCACACCGUAAACGUUGGGCGCUAGGUGUGGGGUCCAUUCCACGGAUUCCGUGCCGCAGCUAACGCAUUAAGCG